UACAGAGGUCUCAAGCGUUGUUCGGAUUCAUUGGGCGUAAAGGGUGCGUAGGUGGUGGCGCAAGUCUGGUGUGAAAUCUCGGAGCUUAACUCCGAAACUGCACCGGAUACUGCGUCGCUCGAGGACUGUAGAGGAGAUCGGAAUUCACGGUGUAGCAGUGAAAUGCGUAGAUAUCGUGAGGAAGACCAGUUGCGAAGGCGGAUCUCUGGGCAGUUCCUGACACUGAGGCACGAAGGCCAGGGGAGCAAACGGG
rnacentral:rRNA from 1 species